AGGAGUGCAGGGCUGUGCACUCCCUAAUCUUGAUCCAUGUCCUAGUGGGGACAGACAUGAGACUUAGGAAAAAUUGGAGCGAGACACAGUCCCACACACCCCAUUAUACAGGAAGAAAAUUGGGCCAUUUUCUCAGUCACUGGGAUUUGGACCGUAUAGAAACGGUGACUAGAGAUGAAAAGCUUUUAAUCCCAUUAGCAUUUGUCAGUUAAUUUCUCCCUUGUAACACUUCCAGAGCAAGGGGAGGAUAAGGCUCAGAAUCACGGAGCUGAUGAGUAUUUCAUUUGCCACAAGUAAAUGAAGGCUUAAUUUGAGCAUGCUCUCCUGGAAGAUAAAAAGCCUGGCUUAGAGUCCUUGGAUUAUCUUGCACCCUGUGAAUUCAGUGGAGGAUUCGACACCUGCACUGACAAGCUUCCCUGGUGCCUCCGCAGUUGGCAGAGAAGAGUGGAAGAUGAACAAUUUCCCAGCACAUUCUGCAGCCUGUUCCAAAGACACCACAUUGGCACGUUUAUUACUGCAGGGUCAACGGGCCCACACUCACACACUGGGGGCUCAGGGAACAGUGGGCACCUCCUGCAAGCUCCUCUGAGAGCUCAAGAAUUCCUCUCCAGGCUCACAACCUGAUGGAAUAAGCCCCCAGGGAAAAGGGGGCUUUUCUCUCAGGAGGCAGCAGCCCAGCACACAGGUUUGCUGGCUGAGGCAUUCCAGCAGCACUUUCUCCAGAGGCAAAAGGAGGAGCUCCUCUCUUGGAGACUUUCCAAUUGGACUCAAGCAUUAUGCAAUGGGCACCAAAAUACAAAUACUCCGAUUGGAUCAAAGUAAAAGGAAAUGCAGCUGAACAGAAUAAUUCAGUUCAUGCACACCGGUGUUCCAUACAUUUUCCAUCCCUCUAGCAGGUUCCACAUUGAAACCUACACUGCCAAGAUGCAGGCACAAAUCAGAAAUCACCAUGCUCUCAAAAUAUUCCACCUUUCAAAAUGAGCUGUGCCAUUCUGGCAAAGCCAGAAGUCUCUCUGCUAUGGCAGAAACACAGCUGAAGGCAGCACCUGACUUGGGAAAUGGCUGAAAUUUCACCCCUGAUAUUUCAGGAACAGUUACUUUGGAUCACCAAUGACAAUUGCUUCAGUUCCUUUGAUGAAGAAACCUUCUGCUGGACAACAAAAGACUUCCCAAAUACCUGUUUGUCCUGAUAUGCAUCAGGAAUUAGUGGCAUUGCUUUUACUAAAGUUCUUUAGUGUGUAUAAACAGCAUUUGUUUAAUAAUCUCUUCACCAUGGUUAUUACCCCUGUUGCUACCCCACUGGUAGCAUGUACUGUCAUUAAUCUUCCGUUAUUAUAUAUUUCUUGGUUUCCAUUACUAAAUUGUUGUGAUCUCACCGCC